ensembl:lncRNA
GAGACCACUUUCCAUCCGGUCUCCGACAGGAAGUUUUGGAAGAGGAUUUGAAAGCGUGGAGCUAUUGAAUACACAUCGCCUUGUGAUCAAUUUGAUAGAUUAUUAACGUUUACUAAUACCUAAAGUUGGAUUACAAAAGUAUUUCGAAGUGUUUUGUGAAAGUUUAUCGUCGACUUUUUUAAUUUAAAAAAAUGACCUAGCGUUUUGAAACUGUCUUUUUUUCUGAAUCACACAGUUUCCAUAGAUGGAUAUUUUGGGUAUACAUGGACCGAUUUAAUCGAAAAAAAGACCCAAUAGUGAUGUUAUGGGACAUAUAGGAGUGCCAACAAAGAAGCUCGUCCAAGUCCUGGGAAUUUGGGCCUUGUCCGGAGUAAGAAGAACAUCCACAGCAACUGACUCGUUGAAGUAGAGGUUGUCAUCCAAAUCGAGGUUUCCUGUCCUGCCAAUGACCCACUGCCAUUCAAAACACCAGGACAUAUCCACGUCUCCAGUUGACUAGAGAGAGGGAGAGAGAGAGAGAGAGAGAGAGAAUGUAAAUAAUGGGCAGCUCUCCCAGCAGCCCUGCUCCAGCCUCCUGCCUCAGUGAUAA